CAGUCGCCGCGGUAAUACGUAGGGUGCGAGCGUUAAUCGGAAUUACUGGGCGUAAAGCGUGCGCAGGCGGUUCGUUAAGACAGAUGUGAAAUCCCCGGGCUUAACCUGGGAACUGCAUUUGUGACUGGCGGGCUAGAGUAUGGCAGGGGGGGGUAGAAUUCCACGUGUAGCAGUGAAAUGCGUAGAGAUGUGGAGGAAUACCGAUGGCGAAGGCAGCCCCCUGGGCCAAUACUGACGCUCAUGCACGAAAGCGUGGGGAGCAAACAGGAUUAGAUACCCCCGUAGUCCCUGUCUCUUAUAC
rnacentral:rRNA from 1 species